rnacentral:rRNA from 1 species
AGGGUUUGAUCCUGGCUCAGAACGAACGCUGGCGGCGUGGAUUAGGCAUGCAAGUCGAACGAGAAAGGGUUCUUCGGAACCUGAGUAAAGUGGCGAAAGGGUGAGGAGUACCUAGGUAACCUACCCUGAAGCGCGGGAUAACGCUCGGAAACGGGUGCUAAUACCGCAUGUGGCAAUGGUUUCGCGAGAAGCCAUUGCUAAAGGUAGCCUCUGUUUUAAGCUUCCGCUUCAGGAGGGGCCUCGGGCCUAUCAGCUUGUUGGUGGGGUAAUGGCCUACCAAGGCGGGGACGGGUAGCCGGUCUGAGAGGACGGUCGGCCACACUGGGACUGAGAUACUGCCCAGACUCCUACGGGAGGCUGCAGUCGAGAAUCUUCCGCAAUGGACGAAAGUCUGACGGAGCGACGCCGCGUGUGGGAGGAAGGCUCUAGGGUUGUAAACCACUGUCACCUGUUAUGAAUCGUGUGAUGUGAAUAGCAUCGCGCGUGACAAAGGCAGGAGAGGAAGCCACGGCUAACUUCGUGCCAGCAGCCGCGGUAAUACGAAGGUGGCAAGCGUUGUUCGGAAUCACUGGGCAUAAAGAGCACGUAGGCGGUCUUGUAAGUCGGGUGUGAAAGCCCUCAGCUCAACUGAGGAACUGCGCCCGAAACUAUCGGACUUGAGGCUUGGAGGGGGGAACGGAAUUCUCGGUGGAGCGGUGAAAUGCGUAGAGAUCGAGAGGAAGGCCGGUGGCGAAAGCGGUUCCCUGGACAAGUUCUGACGCUGAGGUGCGAAAGCUAGGGGAGCAAACGGGAUUAGAUACCCCGGUAGUCCUAGCUGUAAACGAUGGGCGCUAGGUA